CCUACGGGCGGCUGCAGUGGGGAAUAUUGGACAAUGGGCGAAAGCCUGAUCCAGCCAUGCCGCGUGUGUGAAGAAGGCCAUCGGGUUGUAAAGCACUUUCAGUGGGGAAGAAAGCCUUGGGGCUAAUACCCUCGAGGAAGGACAUCACCCACAGAAGAAGCACCGGCUAACUCCGUGCCAGCAGCCGCGGUAAUACGGAGGGUGCGAGCGUUAAUCGGAAUUACUGGGCGUAAAGCGCGCGUAGGCGGUCUGAUAAGCCGGUUGUGAAAGCCCCGGGCUCAACCUGGGAACGGCAUCCGGAACUGUCAGGCUAGAGUGCAGGAGAGGAAGGUAGAAUUCCCGGUGUAGCGGUGAAAUGCGUAGAGAUCGGGAGGAAUACCAGUGGCGAAGGCGGCCUUCUGGACUGACACUGACGCUGAGGUGCGAAAGCGUGGGUAGCAAACAGGAUUAGAUACCCGUGUAGUC
rnacentral:rRNA from 1 species